UUCCCCUAUUCGUAAACUUUGGAUUUCUCAAAAAAUAUUUCAUUUUUCCCAUAAAUUUGUUCACAUCGUUUUUGCUGGGGAGUUGCUUUAAACAUGAGCCGAAGUGUGAACAAAAAUCAACACGAGAUUUUGCUCCACAAAAUGCAAAAUAACAGGACAAUUGCGUGUGGCUUUGUCAAAAUUUCAAAGGACGUAAUGACAGAAUUUUGGAAUAGUCUUACAGAGGAAUUGAAUAGUAACGGCCCCCCUGUUAAAAACGUGUCAGAAUGGGAAAAAGAUGUGGAUAGAUCAAAAAAGAUAUGUUCGUUCAAUAGCAGCCACAAAUUUAAAAAACAGCCUGGAUAGGGUGGUGGUCCAAACCAAACAAAGACGCUUUCGCCUAAUGAGCAAUGCAUAUACGAGCUUGUUGGAAUGAAGGAAUCAAUAGAGGGUAUAGAAAAUGCAUCUACGUUUGGAUUACCUGCGCAAACUAAAC
rnacentral:sRNA from 1 species